GACAACUGGGGACGGAGCCGAAUGCGGAGAGACGCGAGGAGCAGAAGCAUAAUCGACGGUGAUUUUAGCACAGAAACAUCCGGCACUCCAGAGAUGUCCGCGCUAAUGGAAGCCCAAGCUGUCGUGUCCGUAUUGAUUGCUCAGACCUGCAGAUUAUUGCUCUGAAGAGUGACCAACAGCAACCCACUGAGGUAAAAACUUCUCCGGCCAACAGGAGUGCGGCUGCUCUGCCCUGAGAAGCAACAUGUUUAAUUGUUUGUGGUGUUCUCCGGCCCCAACUGCCAAGGUCCCUGAGGGAGAAAGGCAAGUCUAGGGCCUGACCUUUUUCUUCCAUAGCCAGCCUCAUUCACACAUAGCCUUGGAAAUGUAUCAGUCCUCCUCUCUUCAACAUCGCUCCAAUUACCAGAGACAAACAAAAUUGGAGCCCUCAUCAGAUGGAAUAGGAAGACUGUAUCCUUUGGAGACUCCAACGCAGCUUAUGCACUGAAUUCAACAAAAGUGAAAUACACAUUGAAUGAGGCAUUUAAAAUAAUGUUAUGGCUGUUUUAUGUUAAUGUUUAUGUCCCACAAGGGUGUCAUGAGCUUACUGAUUGAGUGGAAAGAUGAGUAAAAGCCCAAUCGCGUCGCAGACACCCUCCUUAACACCUUCAUUUAUUGCUGCACAGAUGAAAUGAGGAGAUACAUUAGAAAAGGCGGCCCUGUGCUGGGAUCCGAACACACUCCAUCAGCAUUCAGCUCAGUAUGUUGCCAUUAUAAUGAAUAUUAAUGACUGUUUUCUCAUACAUAAUAUUCCCAUAAUGACUCUACAAAGUAAAUGCAGCCCUCUUAAAACAACCAUUUAUCAUAACUACGUACCAAAGCAGUAACACUGUCAACCACUGGAAAGAUAAAGCCAUCAGCUACGCUCUUUAAACUCUCAUGUGUAAGCUUAUGAUAUCCAAUGUUGAUAAGAAAUUAUAUUUCAUAUUAUGCUGUAUUUUAAGUCAUCCAUUUUUAUUCCGGUGUUUAACUGGAUGAGUUGUAUUAAUUUUGGCAUGGAAUCUGUGUAAAAUAAUAUAUAGGUCAUUUUAGUGCAACCGCUAUCGUGUUAAAUGAUUCACACUUUGUUAUUGGCAUCCCCCCGUCCAAUGAACAAAUGCAUUACAGCAACUAUAGCAAAAUGAAAUUCAGUGCUAUGUAUGUGCUUAGGCGCACUUCUUUACCUCCGUCAAAUACCUUUUCCCGUGGGCCAUUAAAACAGCAGAGAAGCCACGCUCAAUCCUCACAGACAUUACCUGUGAGCGACUGAACCCUGUUUGGGAAUUGGUAAAGCGUACAGAGGAAUAGACUUGGGAUGGAACAGCCUGGCAAAUUCCAUUUCACAUCUGAAGUGGUCUACUUGUGAAAGAUCAUUUGGUUUGGAGUGAGUAAACAGAGGGGACUCCAUCGCUCUCAAUGACUUAUGUGUGAAAGCUGGGGAUUACAGCCGAUCAGGAAGUCUGGGAGCUGUUUGGAAAAGCAUUGCCUUGCAAAACGAAUCCAACCGCAGGCCCAGUGCUGCACAAGCCCCUCUCACAUGUGUCUCUUCUGAACCAGGCUGCACACAAAGUAUGAGGUGAUUGUUUUAUUUGUAUAAAUUACUUUUUGGUCAGCAUUAUAUAAAUAUAUUUAUGCAGCUUGAGACCAGUUAAAUGUUGAAAUGUUUCUUAAAUUCAGUUUUUUUGUUCUCAUUUUGAUUUGAUCUUUUACUUGCUGAUUCCAGUAUUAAAUGUAUUAAAUGCUGCGGUAUCUCUGGCA
ensembl:lncRNA